rnacentral:rRNA from 1 species
UGCAAGUCGAGCGAGACCUUCGGGUCUAGCGGCGGACGGGUUAGUAACGCGUGGGAACGUACCCUUUUCUACGGAAUAGCCUCGGGAAACUGAGAGUAAUACCGUAUACGCCCUUCGGGGGAAAGAUUUAUCGGAGAAGGAUCGGCCCGCGUUAGAUUAGAUAGUUGGUGGGGUAAUGGCCUACCAAGUCUACGAUCUAUAGCUGGUUUGAGAGGAUGAUCAGCAACACUGGGACUGAGACACGGCCCAG